ensembl:snRNA U6 U6 spliceosomal RNA
AUGCUUGCUUCAACAGCAGCAUAUAUACUGAAUUUGGAAUGAUACAGAGAAGAUUAACAUAGGCCCUAGGCAAGGAUGACAUAUAUUCCAUAUUUUU